ensembl:lncRNA LINC01315 long intergenic non-protein coding RNA 1315
AGACCACGCCCCGCUGCAGCCAGCUUCGCCCGCCCAGAGCCCCGUGGCCAGCGGCCGGCCGCGGGGCCUUUUUGUCCUGAGGGCCAGAGAAAGGGAGAAGGGGGUGGGGGGACAGCCACGUGGCCGCAGGAGGAUUUACAACAUUUUCUUUCGCCAUCGAUGUUAUCGCAAAAUGUGUGAGAGAAGCGGCUGCGCAGCCCGGACGGGAGCGUGAGGGUGCGGGCCAGCGUUUUCCCCCUACCGGAAAUCUGAUGGGCUUAUGACAUCAUGGCUGGCUGCUGAGCGAUGAAGUGGAUGCCACAAAGAAAUCCGACAUAUCAGAUAGAUUCUGAAAUCGGUUUCCCUCCAGCUGUAGUAACAGGCGUGAAGUCAGGAGAAUUUGAGCUUUGUUUAAAAAAUAAAUAAAUAAAUAAAUAAACCAUAACAAAGUCUUGCCCUGUAUUAAAUGCAAUUUUCUUAAAAACAAGCAAACCUUUUGGACAUCAUUUUAUUUUAAUAGAAAUGCUGAGUUUUAUGAAACUAAAGUGGCUAAUAAAUCAGACCUGAAGCUUUGUGUGAGUGUUCCA